AGGAGGAUGGGCCAAGAGGAGCUCCGUCCGUGCCUCAUCCCGCCCCCGCCCCCAGCCCCAGCCCUCGACUCCCAGCCCCUGUCCAGUCAGGUGAGGCGCCCAGAGUACCUCGUGAGCAGCACCACCGCCUUGCUGACAGUGACUUGUGUGUCCCCCAGGAACUCACGACGACGAUGUUGUGGAGGCCGGUGGGAGUGAGAAGACUGAGGCAAAGCCCCGGCUGGGGGACAUGAGGACGAGGCGGCCCCAGUACCUGAGGUGGAGGUGGAGGAGGAGGCGGGCCAGCCCCGUGAAAAUGGCCAGGAGGAGUCCUUAGCCAUCGCCUGGGCUGAGCCGGAAGACGAGCCUGGCCCCAAGGUGGACGGGGCGGACGAUGAAAUCUCUUGGAGCUUGGAGAGUGUGUGUGAAGCGACCUCGCUGACAGCCACCUCGCAGAAAGUGAUCGAGACUCGGUGGCGGAGCGCACCGACUGCCGCCAGGAUGAGGAGGCUGCAGACUGUUGCUUUGGGAGCAAAGGAUCGUGCUUCAAAAGUCUGAGGACAAGUUGUCCUCUGCGAGCUUGGCUAGAAU